UUAAAGGAAUUGACGGAAGGGCACCACCAGCCGUGGAGCAUGCGGCUUAAUUUGACUCAACGCGGGGCACCUUACCAGGCCCGGACACUAGUAGGAUUGACAGAUUGAGAGCUCUUUCUUAAUUUGGUGGGUGGUGGUGCAUGGCCGUUCUUAGUUGGUGGAGUGAUUUGUCUGCUUAAUUGCGAUAACGAACGAGACUCUAGUCUAUUAAGUAGUCUACCGACAUCCUUGGUUGCAGUCGGAGAAAUUACUAUCUUCUUAGAGAGACAGACGGCCUUCAGUCGUACGAAAUUGAGCAAUAACAGGUCUGGUAUGCCCUUAGAUGUCCUGGGCCGCACGCGCGCUACACUGAAGGUAUCAAAGUGUGUUUUCCUAGCCUGAGAAGGCCGGGUAACCCGCUGAAACCCCUUCGUGCUUGGGAUUGGGGCUUGCAAUUAUUCCCCACCAACGAGGAAUGCCCAGUAAACGUGAGUCAUAAGCUCACGUUGAUUACGUCCCUGCCCUUUGUCCACACCGCCCGUCGCUACUACCGAUUGAAUGAUUUAGUGAGGUCUUCGGACUGAGCCACCAUCUCCUUUGCGGGAGAUUGGUGAACUCGGGAAGAUGACCGAACUUGAUCAUUUAGAGGAAGUAAAAGUCGUAACAAGGUUUCC
rnacentral:rRNA from 1 species